AGUCAAUGAUGAUGAGUAAAAGGUCUGAUUGCAAGGUUUCCCUCUUACACCAAACUAGCUCCCAGCAAUAUCGCAAUUCACCCCAUCCUGCUUAAAGAUGUGCAGUUGACUGGUUAACAAAGUUGCUGACACAUUCGGAAUAUCUCAUAGCCACUUCUCUUGAAGAGUGGAGAGGUGUGACUAUGAUGGGCUUCCAACAUAAUCAUUUGAGAAGGAGUCUAAGGUGUAAUGGAUUCAGUGUAUGAAAUAUCUUCGUGCUGAGACU